rnacentral:lncRNA from 1 species
AUUAGCAUGUUUGGGAUCCACUACUGGAUGGUUAACAGCAGCUUUUGUAACUGUACGCCGACCAUAUCGAAUUAUGCUCUGCUAAAAAUGAACUCUUUGCAGACCAACCCUCUCGGCUGUCAGUGUUUUCCGUUUUCCUAUUUUAACGUUUGUGUAUAGUGGCAGGCGACAGAUGGUGUAGAUCAGAUCGAUUUGAUUGCAUUAGAUGAUUUUUUCCCUUCCCCACUCCUUUCUGGAAGCUCGCAUCAGCUGAAGGCUAUCGCCUGGGACUCCUCGGAAGCAUGAGCAAGCCGCCACCACGCGAAGGCACUGGGGCACAGCCAGCGCGAGGCGCCGAGGUCCCUUCCCAAGGCUUGUUAACACUGUAACCCGGCACUCGGAGAGAAGAAGCAGCUCACACUGCCCAGAGCCUACCUCACUGCACAUCAGAUGACUCCCUGGCUUCUACACACAGUUGGAGUUCCGCUUGAAACCUGGAUUUAGAGGAGGGUUCUCUGGCCGCCAUGGCACUCAAUCAUACCACCUAGAGUGGACUGGCCGAGACCAGACUGGGUACCAAGCAGAGAAGUGCAGAGGAAAGCACUGGGAGAGCACCAGAAUUGGAAAUAGAGCGGCCAUUUGGAUUUGGGCAGGAAGCAGCCGAGCACAGCUUUGGAUCCUUCUUUAGGGAAAUCGAGUUAUGGAUUUAUGGUCCCGGUCAAGCUCAGCCCAUCCCGCAGUAGCAGCGGCAGCGGUAGCAGCGGCAGCGGUAGCAGCGGCAGCGGCAGCUUGGUCCUCUGACUCUCUUCGGUGACGGGUAUUCUUGGGUGGAUAAUACGGAUUACGUUGUUAUUGCUUAAGAAUACGCGUAGUCGAGGAGAGUACCAGCGGCAGGGGGGCAGCGGCCGCCCUCCCCAGCCCACCAGCUGGCCACUAAACGCCCGUGGUUGCCAAGGCGGGGAGCGGAAGGGGGUCCGUUUCCCCGAGCCUGCGGGGCGGUUCGGCGUUCCCAGUCCGCUCCUCUCCUCUCCACGGUGGGGUGCGGCUGGAGGGAGAGACGCGGACGGGGCGAUUUUCUAAAGUUGGGAACGACUGAAAGGCCUUGAGCAGUUUGGGAGCGUCGCGAGUGAGGCGCCGAAGCUGGGCAGAGGGUCGCUGGGGGCUGCCUCCGCAGAAAGGGCGUGUCCGUGGGCGAAGGUGAGGACGAGUCUCAAACACCAACAAACGCAAGGCACGUCCCCCCUCUCAGGUCAGCUGCGAAGGCGUGGGAGCAAGAGAGAGCCUCUCCCUCCUUCUACUUAGAGUUUUUGUUUGUUUGUUUGUUUGUUUGUUUCAAAUAUUAAUGGACGAUAAAACAACACGGAUUUGUCACCUCCUAGCGAAGAGGAAGCCACCGCCACCACACCCCUCAAGCAUGCCUGGGCACUCCUGGGGACAAUCGGACGUGGCAGGAGUUGGCAUGCCCAAGAUGAAGCUGGGAAGGAUGACCCAGAGUGGAAGGCGUGGGCUGGGGCUCCAGGUCUCAGCUCUCGCCAGCGUCGGACCACACAGCUUUGCCAGCUUUGCACCUUGCCUUUCCUUCUUGUGAGGCAUCUGGGACCGUCCUAUCAAGGCGCUUCAAAGGUGGAAGGACAGAGUGCUGGGGACAAGAACGUACCAGGCGCCCAGAAGAUUCCACUAGCGCGGCCAAACACUAAGACCAGGUUUCCUCCCUGCGUGGUGGUCGUUGGUUGUGAAGGAAGCAGGCACACUCUCAUGCUUCCCCACCUAGGGUUUCGCCUUUCUUCUAAUAUUUAGGAUUCCCAGUGAAGGGUACUCCACACACACCCUCUGCCUACCCCUAAUCCCACCCCAUUGUGUCUGAUCCCACAAUUACUCCCAGGGUAUCUAUACUCACAGCUUUUGCGCUCAAAGAACAUUGUCGUCUGCAGGGAACGGGUGGAGCCCUUCUCAGAAGCUCCCGGGGGCGAGUCCAUUUUAAGAAUGAGUUGAAGUAGGAAAGAAAACACAGAUGCUGUCUUUGCAUUCGACAUUCUAUCACCAGCAAGAGAAUAUGUAACUCCUGUUCUUUCCUUCAUUAUUCCAUGAAUUACCUUUUUUCUCUAGGGAUCUACCAGUUGGUGAUUUAGGGCUUUUAAAUAUUAUGCUUGUUAUGUAUUUAACAAAAUGCAAUAUGUCUACUGGUGGCAUUGUUUCCUUGGGAAAUUAGAAAAGUAGAAGCUACAUACUCUAGUUCCUAGGUGGUCUCUGGAAAGUUGGCCUCAUGCUGGUUGGCUAAAUAAUAAGUGUUUAGGAUUUGAAAGGAAGAAAGAGAGCUGAAGUCCUGGUGACAGAGUUUGUGCAAAUUUAUUGCAGUUGCUUCAUAGAGGAAGAAUAAUGUUGAGAAUGGAAUAAUUGCAAAUGCUAGUGAUGAAAUCUAAAGGAAACCUCUACUCAUAGUUAACUGAAAGUAUUUUUGUUGUUGUUGUUUAAAUACUUAUCUCAUUGCUUUCUUUCCUUUGCAGAAUUAUUUUCCUAUAAUAGUUUCCAUUAGGUGUCAGUCUGAACUGGUUCUUACUUAAGUUAGGGGUGAAAAUGUUCCAUCAUCACACCUUUUAAGAUAAGAAAGUGGGAAAAAUUAAAACUUUAUUAAGUUGAAAUUACUGGAGUUAAUUUUUAUUGUUAAAGACAGCUUUUUUAUUCCCAGAAAAAGUAAUUUUAAAUUAUGUCACCACUAGUCAAUGACUGCUUUUGCCCUGUCACUGUCCAUAGCCAUGAUUAAAGAAGUACAAAAUGCUUGUUUGUGCAUUUCAUGCUAGAUCCAAGUAGUGUUAAGUAGUCAUAAUUUUUGGAUGGCUUUUCAAUUGAUGUCCUAAGACUAGAAGGGUAAGCAGCCUUUUCUAAUAUUUCUUUUGCUUUACAAAGGUGAUAGAAAUUUUUCCUGAAAAAAGGAACAUGGAUUCAGCUUAAGCUGUUCAUUUGACAAUACUGAGAAGGAAAGACAGCAUAAGGCCAUCACAGUUGUUCACCAUCUUGUCAAUAUGUACAGGUGCAGCUACCAUUGUAUCACGGAAAUGACAGAAUGAUGUUCUUACUGUGUUGGAAAGUAGUGUAUUCUGCAUGGGAGACUUACUGUUUAAAAGUAAAUUUCUUUUGGAUAUAUUUUCCGUAAGAAGAAAAAAUAUAAUAAUGACAUCAGAAUAUUUAAAGACUUUUAAAUCAUUUAGCUAUUGAAUUUAGUUAUUGAUAGCUGUACAGCUAUAUACACAAAUGGUAAGUAGAGUUUAAGCAAAUAGCUUUGUAGUACAAUUUGUUUUUUAAAUGUUUUCAGAUUUUUAUCUUAGUGCUUAUACUUUAAAUCUUGACUUACAAGUCUUGCAUUUAAGUCUAGAAAACAUUUUGCAUGAUUGUAUAAAAUAAACAUUUUAGUUGAGGAAACACUGCAGUUCAUCCAAAAAACAUAAGCUAAAAAGAUAUAAUAUUUUAAAUUGUUUUAACUGUAGGAAGAUGAAAAACUCUAAAAGUGCUCACCAUCAGCAUAAAGUGAGGCAUUUUGAGCUCUACUGUGCAAAAUGAAAGCAUAAUAGUCACUGCAAGGAAGACUUAAAGUUCUAUUAUCCUGUCAUUUAUACUUAGAGGCACUUCAGUUUCUGGAAUAGUUUAAACAAAGGAAAUUUGGAAUGGAUUUCUCUUUAAAAUUUUGAAAACCUGGAAUCCUGAGGCUGAAAGACUACGGAAUACCUUCGACCACCUUCCAGAUAAUAUCUGGAUGGAGGAUAAUAUGUGAUGUAAUAAGCUAUAAGUGUCAAGAUAUGUGAGCAUUAAAAAAGGAAGCUGAUUUUGUGAUGCCACUUAUAUCACCUCCACUAAGGGAAUAGGUCAGCACACUGCAACUGAUUUCCCAUUUCUGCAAAACAGUGCAGUUCUGCUUCAGGCUCUGAAUUUGGGAUUUCCUGUUGAAGUCAAAACUAGGUCUAUGCUGUCCUGGGGGGUCAGGAACAAAAUAGGUUGUGAUUAUGGAAACAGUAUCUCUGGGCUCACUGCCAAAUCCUCCAAUACUCCUGGGUGUCAAUUUGACCUAUUAUAUUUCCUUUAAUGAUAAAAUGAAUGACUUUAUGAUGCUUGACUGCUCUGUAAGGUGCUAUAUAAAUGCUAAGUAUUUAUUUGUAAAGUAUAUAAACACAAACACACACAGCCAACAUCUGCUGGUUUUAUGUAGAUAUAGUGUGAAAAACUGUAAAAUUUAUAUUCAAAUUUUGAAACAUUUCCCAAAUUGUUACAAUUACAUACUUGGUCAGAGUAAUUCAAGUUCAAUAAAUCUUUCAGAUUUCUAGUAUUAAAAAAACUUUUCCCCCUUUUGCUAUAGUGUUAAUUUAAAAUAAAUGACCAAUUAUUUCUAAUAAUGAAACUUUUUUUCAAAAGCAGAAGAAAAUAGCUUUUGGGUAUUUUUAAAAAAUAAUCCACAUUGUAUACAUACAUAAAUACACACAUAUACAUCUAUUAUCUUUUGAUAAAGUCAUCUUCCAAGGAUCCCAGGGAAAGGUGACGAAUAAAAGAAACUGUAAAAUGCUCUAAGUCUCUUAAAUUUAUAGCACAGUGAUUAGUGAAAAUAUCCCUCACUCCAAUAAAUAAGAGAAAAAGGAUAUUUAUUUUGAUAGCCUGGCUUUCUAUUUUUAAAAGUCAAUUGCACCACCCCAUGGACAUUUAAGCCACUGCUAAUAAAGGCCAUUUUUCUCUGUUUUAUUUUGCAACUAUAGGUAUGGGUGGAAUUUGGACCCAAAAUUAAGAUAGUCUUUUCUUUUGCUUUUCUUUGGGGUUGUUGUGUAUGCAAGAGUUCAUGUUUCCUAAUUCACAUUUAGCAACCAGUGUGUUUCUUGUAGUCCUUAGAAAUAAGUUCACAGAAAUCACCAUGACAUUCUUGGCUCUUGAAAAUUCUUCAGUUUUCUAAUGCAUUCACACUUAUAAAACUUUUUUACUGAAAAGAAAAAACAGAAUAAAAAACAAAAAAACCUAACACACAUGCUUAUUAUUUUGUUUUCAGUUUUUGCAUGUGCAAAGUUCUAUUUUUAAAUGUAACUUAUUUCAAUAUGGUCUUGUCCUGUCCUUGGAUUUAAUUUAGUAGACUAUUUAGGGUCACAUAGUUCAGCCUCCCACACUGAGUAGCCAUCUAGCCUCCAAAUAUUAACCUACAGUACCCAUCUCCAUUUUCAGAGAGCUCCGAUGGAAAUUUCUAUGAACUAAUUCUCCUGCACAUACUUUGGUACAAGUGGGCUACUGGAGCCACCUUCCUUCGUUCAAUCAAACAGCAUUUAUUCAGCUUAUUUAAUGAACACUAUCCAAGAUACUUGGGGGACAGAAAUGAAAAGAUGGGGAGACCUGUCAAACAUAUGGUACUAUGUCUAUGCAAAAUAACAUUGGAAUGUAGAUUCACAGUGGAAGGCAGGGCAGGCAUGGAAGAAUUCUGAGAAUGAGUGUGACAGCUGACCCACAAUUAACCAGUGCAUUCUUCCCUUGGAUUCCCUAAGCUUGUGUGCCUGAUGAGCUGCUCUCCAGUUAUGCCACCAUGAUUUCCAUUCCUGAGGGAAGGCUGUGACGAAGAGCCAGGAAAAUAAGAGCACCCCUCCUACUCUCAUAGUGCAGUGGUUGAGGAUCCUUUUUUCUAUACAAUUUUAAAACUGGAAAUACACAAAAUACGCCAACAUAAUUAAAAAUAAAACUACCAUGAAAUAGCACAAAUAUUCUGCACAUGAAAUGUUAAGAACUAAAAUUUAAAAAUCUGCUUUUAGUAGGACUACAUAAAACUGAAGAAAACCAGUCAAUACAGAAUUGGGCCAAUGUACAAUUAUUCUUGAAGUAAUCCAAACACAUUAAGUUCUCUAAUAUAUCUAAAAUAAUCUAUGACAAAGGAAAUAAUCUGAAGGAAAGAAAGAAAAGAUAAUUGUGGGAAAUUCUUAUGUGUUAUACUUUUAUGUGUAGAUAAGCUGAAUGGAAAAAGAAUUAUUGUAAAAUAUUGAGAAAAGAUUAGAAGAUAUGAAAUAAUUAAGAAAAAGAGAAUAGGUAAAAGGAGACAUUGACAGAACAAGAGAAACGAAGUUAAAUUUUAAGUACCAUGGAUUGAAAUUAAAUUUAGGGAAGAUAUUUUAUAGUAUGAAUUGUUCAUCUGUAUUUAACAAGGUAUUCAUUUAUUUUGGGCGAUUUAAGGAAGGUCCUUUCUGGAAACAGGAUUACAAACAUAUGGACCUAUUUAGUCAAUUUCAACCUUGUGAUUUUGAAUCUGACAGGUUCUCAGCUGCUUUUAUUAAAUAACGGAUUUUCUUAAUAAUUACUGUACUCAAACUUAGCAAAAAGCUCUAUUUAUAGCCCAGUUUUUUAGUCACACACUAUUGUGUCUUGUCAAAUUGAAACCAUAUACUACAUUCUUUACUUAUUAAGAUGGUCUUUCUUUGUAAUAAUUUUGGAGUAAAUAGUUUACUUAUCUAAACCUCUGAUUUCUGAUUUAACAGAUUUUUGAAGCAUUUAUUUUCCUUACCAUACAUAAAAAUUGUCAGUUGAGGACAAGGAAGGAUUAACCUGGACUACGGUGAAUAAUUGUUCAGGUUGCUUACUGUGUAACUCCAGAGGAGCAUUCACAUGGUACAAUUUGCAGAUUUAAGUAUUUAUUACAACCAUUUUCUGGCAGAUAACAGUGGAACACCCUGUUCUGUUAAAAUUAGUUUAUUAUGACAAAUUGCCUACAGAUGGACAUAAACUGUUACAGAUAAAAUAAAUUACUACAAGCUCCUAAAAUGUCAUGUGCUUUACAGGUCAAUAAAAUGUAACCCAGAAUUUUGAGAGAAACAGACUUUACUACAGUCUAAAGUUUUAUGCAAAAACUGAUCAUCCCCAUUCUUUCCUUGAAUAAAGAAAAGAAGCUGUCAAUUACCAUGUAUUAAUAAGUGAGGCUCACACCUUAUAGUAACAACAAAAUUAGAAGAGAAAUAAUACGUAUGUCUAGUGUAAUGUGAUAUGCAGAAGAAAAAUUUAAAUUCUUUAAUUGUAAAGGAAAAAAGCCAAUAUGAUAAUGUUAUUUCCAAGGUGCACUUUCUGUCUGCUGAGCGAUGAAAUUAACAAGUAAAGCCAUUGGAAUAGUCAAUAAAAUCAUUUGGCUUUGGAAAGAACAGAGGUAUUUUGUUCAAUAGUUUUGUUUUCUUUAGGCUGAGACAGCAAUUAUGCCAUCAUCAUCACUUUCCAUCUUUUAGAAGGAUAUUGGUUAAAUUUUGAGUUAAUGAUUUUUUUCUCCCCAAGAUUCCUUUCUAGCCCCUAACAUUACUAUAGUCUUAAACUAUCUUCUGUUUGUCAUACAAAAUGGCUUCUCAUAGAACAACACCAAUGUCAGGGUAGGAGCUGAGGAAGAAAAAGUAAAUAAAAAUACACAAAAUCCAAACUUUGUUAUAUGUUCCAUUCAGUGGCCUUAUACAUGACUUACAAAUUUUGUUUGAAGUUUAAUUAUAACUAACCACUAUUUAAUUCGAAUUCACUGCUGGCUGUAUUUCCUGAUUCAGAGUUCCAUAUUGCUUCUAUUGCUGGUUUUAAUUUAUUUGAACCUCAGUCUUCUAAAUUGUCUCUAUUUCCUAUCCAUUAUUUUUUAUUUGCCUAGAGGUACUUGAAAAUGCAUUCAGAAAAAAAAAAUUCUUACUCACCAUUUUGUACAACUCUUCAAAACUCUAGGAUAUGCUACAUAAUGUACAUAAUAAAAGUAGUAAUUUCAACAGAAAAUCAAGAUGCCACUCGAUUUUGCCAUGGAUUUAU